rnacentral:lncRNA from 1 species
UUUUUUUUUUUUUUUGUAAAAGAGAGAACUUUUAAAAGUUUCUUGAAUCACAAGGAAAAAGAUAAAUCAAUUGCAGCGAAAAUAGUUGACUACGUUAAAAUUAAAGUCGACUUGAAAUGUAAAAGUAUAGGGAUAGAAGAUUCAAACGCAGUUUUUAUACUGGUUUGGCCAAACUGCCUACAUCUAGUGUCCUUCCUGUACCCGGAAGCAAAUGCACUAUAAUGAUCAGGGUUUUUAAUACAAGGUUUCUAUAUAGACCUCCACGUCAAAAUAUAAAACAACUUUCUAACCCUUUUACCAAAAUAUAGGCAUAUACAAAACAAAGAACAACAUCAAGAUAUCCCUUCUCCUGCAGUCUUUAAUCCCUUUGAACAAUCAUCAAAGUCCUAGAACGCAACACGUCCUCUUCCUGUAAUCACAAAAGGGCAGCCGCAAUCUUCACAAGAUUGAAACAAGUAGUCGAUCACGUUUCAAACACCUCACUGUGCAAUAUGAUCAAUUUGUCUUUAAGCACCAACACUUGCUCUACAAGCAACCACCAAAGAAUGAUCACCAUGAUUUUUCUUGAUGAGUUCUUGGAGCUUUAGCACGUUCUACAAAUCUGAAAAGAAUCAAUGAAAUCAUUAAAUUCAUAAAAGUCUUUCUAGAAAUCAAAUUUGCGUCUAUUUAUAGUUUAUCACGAAACUGACGCUCCUCAAGUCGACUAUGCUGCUAAUAGAGUCGAUUAACCACAAACAGUUAUAACAUUUUAGUAGCAGUCAGAUCAACUUAAUUGAUUACACAUUUAAUUCAGUUGACUAACAAUUAAUGUCUGGGCAAAGAUACAAAAUAUAGCCGUUAGACAUCACAAGCAUCAACAGAAUUUCAAAACAUAAUUAACUAAGUCGAGUAGCUUGCGCAUACAAUCAACUUUGUAACACUUCAAUGCAGUUUUGAAAAUCUUUCUUUGCAAAAAUAAUCACAGCACUGUUUGGAAAAGUUUGUGCAAAGACACGAGUUUUAAUCGACUUGCUUCAUGAUGAAGUCGACUUAAAAUUGUUGUUUUGUCACACAAUAUACAUUAAACCAAAGUGCAUGUGGUUUUCUUUUCUAAAUCAUAUGUUAUGAAAUAACAUAUGAUAUCUCAUGUAGAACACAGUAAGUUUGCACACAUAGACAAAAUCAACACAAACAUGUUCUCAAAUAAUCAUACAUAUGAAAGUAAAGAACAUGUAACACAUAUGAAUAUGUAACAACACAUGUUUUUAUUAAUAAUACGUUGUCAUCAUCAAAAACUAGUGCUUUCCUUAUCAACAAUCUCAACAAAGUAGUUGCAAAUAGAAAGCACUUUUAACGGGUUAGCCAAGAGUAGGUACGAUCCUAAACAAUACUCGAGAGACUAGUUAGGGUGGGUAUAAUUGACUUUAAAAUGGGGUUGCAAAGAGCCUCAAACUAUUUAUACACAUAUGACACUUUAAGAUUCUUAUGUGUAUAUUUUUAUGUGUCAUGUAGCAAAAGUUAUGGUCAUUUGAAGAUUUUCACCACCAAAUCUUCAUAAGUAUGAAUUUUGGACCAAUAUCUCACAGUUGAACACUCUACAUUCAAAUACAACUUAAUAAUAGUUCCUAAAAAAAAUAAGUCAAAAAUAUUUUUCUAGCUAUUUGUAGUGAAUUUUAUGGCACACAACAAUUUCUAAACACCAACCUAAAUAAGAAAUGAAAUCGGAGAGAAUGAGAGUUUGAGUUUAAAAGAGUAUUGUCGUUGUUGUAGUUUCGUGAUAGGUUUCACACAAACGAGUAAGAGAAAGGUGAGGACACUAACACUAUUUUUAAAAUUUUAAAACGCAAAUUGACAGCAAACCCCUCACUAUAAACGUCAAAUUGCAAAUUAACGUCAAAUCUAGAGUAGUUUGACAUUAUUUAAUGUCUAUUGGUUCUAAAGUCAAUGUUAAUUUCAAAUUUAACAUCUAUUGUAUGAGAGUUUGACGUUAAUUUAAACAAAAUUUUUAUAAAAAUAUUAUUGUAUAUUGUUAAUGUCAAAUUUUGAAUCAUACAAUAUAGAACUGGCCACAUUAUAAGUUUUAUUUACACUAGUAAUUAUAUUUGUACUAUAUGAAAUAUACCGAUCGGAGUUAACAGGUAUUAAUGGGUCAGAUUGCCAUAUGCUUUACAAAUAUAUGAUAUUAAUUAUUGAUUAUUGGGUUUGAUUCCCUAAAAAUAUACUACACUAAUGGUUAAUCAAUGGACUUGGUUGCCAUAAGCCCUAUAAAUAUACAAUUGAUGUUCAGGUACAAUCAUCCUAAUAAAAUAUAGACCUCUUUAUGAAACAUAUCUGACUUGAGCGUCAGAGUGUCUUCUGCAGGUCAACAAUCCAUCAGAUGGAUUGCGUGCUCGAAGAGGAUUGGACGAUCGAAAGAGAGUAGAGAAAGGAAGGACGACCAACCCUCGGACUAAUUCAACCGAAAAAUUUUGGCGCCCACUGUGGGGCCGAGCAGCAUUCCCAUGAAACCACGAGGAACCAGACAUGCGCUCGGUCUCGAUAUCGCUACUUUGGAUCAAUACCAGGUUUUGCAACAGCAGCAAAAAGUUUCAUAAUAAUUUUUAAAUACAUGUCUUUUGUUUUGGAAACUUUCAGGAAGGUUCAGACCUACGUUCAACCUUGUCACAUUCCAAUUACUUUUAAUUAUAAUUUAUAAAUUAUAAAAUAUUGAUUUAACUCAUAUUUUUGUGAGUAAAAAUAUCAUGUGCAGGAAGGUCCAACCUACGUUCAACCUUGUCAUUUUCCAAUGACAUUUCAUUUUAAAUUAUAAAAUAUUAACGCAUAUUUUUGUGAGUAAAAAUAUCAUGUGCAGGAAGGUUCAGACUUACAUUCAACCUGGUGAGAUUCCAAUGGCUUUUCAUUAUAAAUUAUAAAAUAUUGAAUAUUUUAUUUAACGCAUAUUUUUGUGAGUAUAAAUAUCAUGUGUAGAAAGGUUCAGUCCAACAUUCAACCUUAUCAGGUUCUAAUGGCUUCUCAUUCUAAAAAUAAAAUAUUAAAUAUUUUAUUCAACGCAUAUUUUUGUUAGUAAAAAUAUCUUGCACAAGAAGGUUCAAUCCCUUACCGCUUGGUCAGUUGAGGAAAAAGAACUCCUCGCUCAACAUAGGAAAAAGUUUUGGAAAAAGAACUCCUAUCAGACGCCGCCCAACCUAGAGAAAAAAGUUCUGGAAAAAUAACUCCUAUCAGUUGCCACCCAGCUUAGAGAAAAAAGUUCUGAAAAAAGAACCCCUCGCCCAAGAUAGGAAAAAGUUCUAGAAAAAGAACCCCUAUCAAUCGUCGUUCAUCUUGUCUUAUUUGCUUGGUCGUUCAACUUUUUAGCAUAAUCUAUUUUGAUAUUAAUGGUCUAACCUCAUAAAUGCGUUGGUUUGAUUGGAAAUAUUUUUUCUGACAAGUUCAUAUUCAAAUUUUUAUUUUUCUUCAGUGGAGAUAACAGAUUCUAGCUUCUACUGCUCAACAUGGGAAAAAGUUCUAAAAAGAACUCCUAUCAACAUAGGAAAAAGUUAUAAAAAGAACUCUCAUCAAUCACCGCUCAACAUGGGAAAANAAAGAACUCCUAUCAACAUAGGAAAAAGUUAUAAAAAGAACUCUCAUCAAUCACCGCUCAACAUGGGAAAAAGUUCUAAAAAGAACUCCUAUCAAUACAAGAAAAAGUUCUAAAAGGAACUCCCAUCAGUUGCCGCUCAACAUGGGAAAAAGUUCUAAAAAGGACUCUUGUCAACAUAGGAAAAAGUUCUAAUAAGAACUCCCAUCAGUAGUUGGACCACUAAAGUCCAACCUUGUCAGGUUUUAAUGGCUUCUCAUUAUAAAAAUAUAAUAUUGAAUAUAUUGUUUAAGACAUUUUUGUGAGUGAAAAUAUCUUGCAUAGGAAAAAGUUCCAAAGAGAACUCCUAGAGUUCGCCCGCUCGGUGCAAAGAGGAAUGAAGACUUAAAUAGACUCCCUAAAUACAACGUGAGCAACCUCUCUUAAACUCGUAAUAAUCCUUGCGCACCUCUUUCAAUAAAGAGUUUGCUUGGGCUUGGGGGACUUAUGUACUAUAUGAAAUAUACCGAUCGGAGUUAGCAAGUAUUAUAAUGGGUCAGAUUGUCUUACUCUUUACAAAUAUACGAUAUUAAUUAUUGAUUAUUGGGUUUGAUUGCCUAAAGGUAUAUUGCACUAAUGGUUAAUUAAUGGACUUGGCUUUCACAAGCCCUAUGAAUAUACAAUUGAUGUCCAGAUACAAUCAUCCUUUUGUGAACCUUGACCUAUCCUAAUAAAAUAUAGACUUCUUUAUGAAAUAUAUUUGACUUGAUCAUCGGAUUGUCUUUUACAAAUCAACAACCCAUUAGAGUGGAUUGCGUGCUUGGAGAGGAUUGAAUGAUCGAAAGAGAGCAGAGUCAGAAGAACGACCGAUCCUUAGACGAAUUUAACCAAAAAAAUAUUUAAUAAUAUUUUUGUAUCAUCCCUCUCGGGAUCUAUCAACUUAAAGAUUGUAUUGUUAUGUUUUGAAAAGCUGAUUCCAAAAGGAAGGAGGCGUACUAUUUUUGGAGUGUAAGAAGAAACUCAUGUCAAAUCCAAUUCGUGCAACCUUAAAAUUUGAGAAAGAAAAAAGCAUUUUGUUGAUGAAAUAAAAAAUUGUCAAGCCAAUAAUUUUCUUGGGUACUUGAAAUUGUGUCACUCUAAAGAAUUUAAAAACUUGAUGAUGAAUGAUGAACUAGGUUAUAGUCUAGGCCCACAAGAGUCACAUCGUGAAAAACACUGAUAUUGAUACAUGAUUGGGGAAGAAUACAUUCAUAUGGGUGUUCAUUUUCUCCACUUCUCCCCUUUGUUUUUUCAUGAGCACCACAUAUUUUAAGUAUGCAGCUGAACCAAACACUUAUAGUUCAGUCCUUAUCUUUCUUUCUCUUAACAAAAAAUGACCCCAUUUGUUUUGCUUUAAGGCAAGUGGUUGUGCAUGCCUUGUUGCCCUUUAUCAUUGUUUUGUUGGUUUCUGUCUUCAUUAAAGUACAAACGAUAGAAGUAAUUAAAAGAAAAAUUAAGCAGAUAAAAUGUAUUAUUUCGAUGAAUAUAAAUAAAAGGUAGAUUACGUAAAACAAAAUUCAAUUUGUCUAAUGGAGUGAAAGUUUAGUAAAUAAGUUCUAUAAAAGGGAUUUAACAAUUUAAAUAAUUAAUUUUAAUUAAGUUUAAACUUUUAUUACAUUAUUUCAUUAAAAAAGUAAAACAUAAAAAAAUGUAUCAAACAUUUUCUCGAUUGAAGAAAAUAUGUUUUAAAGCAUAAUUAUGAUAAACUUUACUUCUUCAUUUAUUUAAAUAAUGUGAAGUUAAUAUUUUCAUCACAGUUUACUCUUUUUAUUUCCUUUAUUUAGUAUUAUUUUAAUAUAUAUAUAUAUAUAUAUAUAUAUAUAUAUAUAUAUAUAUAUAUAUAUAUAUAUAUAUAUAUAUGCUUAGUCAAAUUAAAGAUGUAAUAUAUAUGCUUAGUCAAAUUUUCCUUACGAUUAUCAGAAGCAAUACCAAAUUUAAGUGCAAAAUGAGUUUACUAGUUGGUGUUGUAAUAUUUCUUUUAAUAUUUUUCAAUUUUUUAUAUAUUUUCUUUUCUUCUUUUUCUUUAUCUUUUGUAGAGGAACUUAACUUUUCUUUAUAUCAAUUUUGAAACAAAAACAACCAAUAUAUAAUUUUGAAUUUUCAUAACCAGACUAAGAUAAUAAAAUAUGUAGAGAAUCUAAGAAAGUAAUUACUAUUUUGACAAUUUCAAUAAGACUAUGUAGAACCUUAAUACUAGUAAUUUGUUUAGGAACUAAAAAUAAGCAUGAACACAUGCAUCCUAUCCACAUGAAAAUACAAUUGCAAAAAAUCUGACCCAAAAGUGACGCACACAUCAAAAGGUUUUUCAACUUUGUAAAAUGAAAAUAAAAUGGCUAACAUCGAAGUAAUGACAAUUUUGGAUUCAGAAGACUUAGACAAAACUUAUAUCAUCUAAAAGCAAAGAAAAAGACUCAAAAUAUAACCCAUACCCAUGACAAAUGAAACAAAAUUUUGCACAUAUUCAUAUAGAAAAUGGAAAUUCUAGAACACACGUCAAAGAGGAUAGCAGAAUGUUUAACAUAAAAAAUAAACCAAGAGGGGGUGAACUGGUUUCCUUUCGCAAAUGUGUUCCCAUAAUAAUUUUCUCUCCAUUUUAUCUUACUUAGAACAUAAAUUAAACAAUAAUAAAGAUUAAUGGAAGAGAGAAAAUUGCAUAGAUAAUUUUAUACUAGUUCUUAUCACGAGGAUCCUAAGUCCAGUUGUUAAUCCCAAACAAAGAUUAACAUUAUGUAGGAAUUGGUAUCGCGUAGCAUAAUGUUUUAAAGAGUGUGUAAACAGACAAUAACCAAGAGGGGAGGGGUGAAUUGGUUCUUUCAAAAACUUCAUUUUACCUUUUCAAAACUUUUGUCAAAUAGUUUAUAAAUAAAGGAUGAAGGGAUAGAGAAAAUCACACAAAUGAUUUUAUCCUGGUUCGAAUCAAAAGAUUCUACAUCCAGUCUUAAUUACUAUAAAAGAGUGAUUAACUUUUUCACUAAAAAAGAGUUUAAGAUUACAAUAAGAAUAAUGAAAUAAUAAGAACAUGAUACACCUUCCUUCGACACACGAUGGAUGAAUACCAACUCAAUCAACAUGUAGAGAACCGUUUGCACCUUUAGGCACACUAACCACAAGCUUCUCCUUUCUCAAGACUUAAUUAAGCUCGCACUUAAACUAAAGAACUUCCUCAGAACAAUUCUAUGCUCUCAAAUGGUUUAGGUUUUCUUUAAAAGGUUUAGGAGGAUUCUAUAUAUAGGACAAUUGUCAGAAAAUGAAAAGACAACACCCAACUGUCAGUGAUAAUCGAUUAUCACAACUGAUAAUCGAUUAUUUUAGGUCGUUAUGGGUUUUGGAAAAAUGUGAUAGUCGAUUAUCCUUAGUGAUAAUUGAUUAUUUUUGAACCCUUGACAAUAUCAAAACUUAUAGUGAUAAUCGAUUAUCCCCUAUGAAAAUCGAUUAUUGCUGCGAUAAACCCUUUUCUAUUUUUGCUUGUGAUAAUCGAUUAUCCCCUAUGAUAAUCGAUUAUUGCCGCAAGAAAUCACUAAGUUAUGAAACUUCUAAGUGUUUACAAUUGAAAAUAACUCCUAUACAAAUGCUUUUUACAAAAGAUGCUUUUAACAUUUAAAGUAUCGGAUUCUUCAAGUCUUCAGUCUUUAAGUUCAUCAUCAUCAAAAUCUCUUCAACGCAUCAAUGCUUAUCAUGGAUAACACAUUGCACUAUCACAAAACCAAUAAACUAUUACAAUCACACAAAAAAACAAGUUUAUGGGUUUAGAAACACCUCUCCUUGUUACCAUAAGAGAUGAAAUUCACUUCCCCUGAAGGCCAUAAGGGAUGAACAUGUCCUCCGAAUGAUUCAUGAAGGACGAACACUUUCUUUAAAUCUUCACAAAGGAUGAUAGGCUUCACUUAGCAAUAGCAAAAACACUCAACCACUCUCUGAGUGAAAUUUCUCGCUUUCUCCAACGCUAAGUUCUCAAAGUCAAAGUACAAGAGUAACACAAACCCUACAUCACACUUUUCACAUUUUACAACUAACAUAUGUGUGCUAGAAUGAGAGUCUAAAACAUCUUUAUAAAGACCUCACUCAAUGACACCUCCUAAAAUUCAUUGUCAAUUUUUUGUCGCGUGAUAACCGAUUACACACUUAUGGUAAUUGAUUAUGCAUUUAAUGGAUGCAUAAGGGCCAAAAACAAGCUUAAAAAAUCCAAUGACUAGUUAUGAUAUGGUAAGUCAUAUUUGAUUAUGGAUAAUAUAUUAUUCUAGAGCCAAAAUAAGUUUUUAUCAACAUUUAAAAACCUCAUUGCGUUAAUCGAUUAUCUUAAGUAGCUAAUCGGUUAUUGCAAAGUUCUUUUAUUCCAAAAUGAAUCAUCAGUGCAGUAAAGGGAACCGACAACGAUUAUUUUCACCUAUCUGCAUUGAUUCCACAACCAAGGUAUAUACAAGCAAGGCAAAAAGGUAGGCUUUUUGCCUUGGUUCUCAACCGAGGCAAAAAGGGGUAGUCUUUUGCCUCGGUUUCUUUUGAAUUGAGGCAAUAAAGGGUUUUCUUUUUCUUUUUUUUUUGGCCAGACUUUUUUUUGGCCUAUGAACCGAGACACUAUAGGGGAGCUUUUUACCUCAGUUUUGGGAUGAACCAAGGCAGUAGAGGGUUUUUCCUUUCUUUUCAUUUUUUGUCAGUCCUUUUGCCUCGAUUGUGCCUAGAAUCGAUGGCAUAGAUGGCUUUCUGCCUCGGUUAUGGUCACAACUAAGGCGUAUUCUACUGGUUUUUUUUAUAAAACAUGUCUAUUUCUAUAACAAUCCCACCUAUAGAAACAAACCUGCAUAUAUUCAACAGAAAAAAAUAAUGUAGAAACAUAUAUUCAAUGCAAAUUAUAAUCAUAAAUCAAUUCAAUGUACAUAGAAUUUUAAUCAUAAAGCAACUUAGAAGCAUAAAUCAAUCCAAUGUACAAAGUUAACCUAAUCAUAAAUUUGCUAAUGUAGAACUUAUUAUAUCCUAAUAUCUACAUACUAUUAUAGAGUUGAAUUACAUAUUUUCCAUGUGUUUUCAUUAUCAAUGUAAUGGACUUUGACGGAAUUGAAGUAGUAGAAUUGAAUCUCUAUAUAAGACACAAUGAUUUCAAUUAGAUAAUACAUGUACUUUCCUUAGCAUUCAUACUUUAUGUGUUUAUACAUGUGUUUACAUAUGUUGUAUACAUACUCAUACUUUGAUAUGUGAAAAUCACUUGCACAAUGUAUUAUCUGUAUGAAGUAAUCAAUUACAGAAAUUAUUUAAUCAAUUAAGUUCAUCAUAUAACCAUUUUCUUAAACUAGUGCAAGCUACAAGUUUUAACCGAUUACAUUAUGUGUAUAAUCAAUUAAAACUCAUGCCUUUACAAUACAUCUUUCUGGAUUAUGCUAUGAUGAGUUUUGUGUUGAAAAUGUUUUCAAAAUGCUUAAGUGUUGUACUUAAUCGAUUACACAUUUUAAGUAAUCAAUUAAGUUAGUUAUACUUUGAAAAAUGGUUGUUGUUAAGUCUUAACUAUCCCAACAGUCAUAUUUUAAUAUGUUUUGGCUUACAUGAUAUAUUGAAUCGAUUACAUUAUGUGCUUAAUCUAUUAGAUCUGUUUGAUUGUUUUUCAAGUGUAACUCUAUUACUUAUGUAACCUAUUACAUUAUUAUAGUAAUUGAUUAAACUACGUCUGUUAUGAGAAAAUUAUAAAUUGUUGCAUCGCACACUGUAUUGUAACGAAUUGAUCAUUCUAAACUUUCAUAUCUGAUGUUUGUGAUUUGAGAAAAGUGUUACAGGCUAAGACGCUCCAAGAAACAAGAUACAUAGAAGUUGAUAAAUCUUAAAGGUUUCUUGAAGAACUGAUUUGGGUUUUCACUACUGAUCAACUAUUGCACUAGUGAGGUGUACUCUUGAUUGAUCAAACUUCGCUUAUAGCAAUAUUGGAUUGUGUUGUUUCCCUGUGUGUGCGGCUAGGAAGAAGAGCAUGAAGUUCUUUGGACUUUGAGGGGAUCUCAAAGGGUGAUUAUAGGAGAGGAUUGUCCUUGCUGUAGGGUUUUGUUAUUGGCUAUAUUAAAUUAAUGAGUUAAAGAGGUGUUUACAUUUGAGAGGUGGUCUCUAUAAAACCUUAUUGUAAAAACUCAUAUCUUUAUAGUGCAUUUGGCUUUCAAUCUCAGGUUGAUUGAAAGGACAUUGGAUGUAGGCAUUAAGGCCGAACCAAUAUAAACCUUGUGUUUAUAUCUCUUUCCUUAUCUCUUUUACUUUCACUGCAUGCACUUUAUUGGUUAGAUUCCAAGAAAGAUUAAAGAUCAUUCUAAGUUUACAAAAAGAUUGAAAAAGUAAUUGUUUUUAUUGAUCACUAAUUCACCCCCCUCUCUUGGUGUUGAGAAACAAGACACCUCUUUUCUUAUAGCUUCCACUAGGCAAUUCUGGUAUCAACCAGAUACUCUUCCUAGUAAUGCUUAACUCACCUGAGUUAAUCAACAAAUGUUUGAAUUUUCUUCAGAAUAUGCAAUCAAUCAAAUUACUUACAAGUCUUAGACAAUUAGUCUCACAGAGAAAAUAUAUGUUCAACACUGGUUUAGCCAAACCUUACAAUCUCAUACCUUCUAGUUUUUGAUGAUGAUAACACAUUAUUAAUAACAACAUGUGUUGUUAUGUGUUACAUGUUCAUAGCUUUCAUGUUUAUGAUUAUUUGAGAACAUGUUUGUGUUGUUUUAGUCAAAUUAUGCAAAUUCACUGCGUUUUACAUGAGAUCUUAUUUGUAAUUGCAUAACAAAUGUUUUGAAAAAGGAAAACCACAUGCACUUUAGUUGAACUUUAAAUAGUGUGGCAAAACAGCCCCUCAGCGCUAGUGAACAAACAUUAAAGAGGGACGUUAGUGCUUGGGCUUUCGGUGCCAGUGUUGAGCGUUGACUGCGCAAGGUUUUACACCCUUGUUUUACACCCUUUUCUUUGUUGGCUGCAUCAAAAUAAAACCCCCAAUAUACGAACAACAAACGUUCUAGGCCGAAAUUAACACCCUAAAACCCCAAAAUCACUCAAAAUUGAUAGGACAACAUGAAAACUUAAAACUACAUGAGCAUGCAACAAUUUCACAACAUAAUUGUCAAAUGAAAUGCUCCACUUAAUCAAUUAAAGACAGCACAGCAGCAACCAUGGUUAUUGAAAACGCGAGUUAACUCGUUAACUCGGUCGAGUUUACGAGUUCAGAUAGUGCUUUCAAGUUAACUCAUAAGCAAACUCAUUUUUAGAGUAGGAUCGAUAGAAUCGUGGUAGACUCGCUAAACUCGCCUAAAAUCGCGAGUUUGGUUCCGAUUUUGCGAGUUUGGGAAAAAAAUUCGAAGACACAAAACAACUACGUUUUUAGGACUCACCGGAUUAGGUUUUUUAAAAGAUGCACUCAUUGUUCAUCUUGGUUUUCACUGUUCAUCUUCUUUCUUGCACUUUCGCUUUCUAUCUCGUUCGAUCUAGCCCUUCGUCGCGCCCUCAUUCACCAGGUUCGCCUUCCAUCGCGCCAUCCAUCUCGACUUUCGAACUCAGCCUCCGUCCGUCGUCGAUCUCGACCUCGUCCUCCGUCGUACCUUCAUUCUCAUCCUUGUGGGUUCUGUAAGUGCAAACCCCCAACCACUAAAAUCUUAAAUUUGGGUUCACGGGCACUGCAACAUAUAUUUUAAACACUUUUAUGGCACUAGCGCUCACGGGCACUACAACAUAUAUUUUAAACAUUUUUAUGGCACUACAACUGUUAUAAAAUCUGAAAUUUGGGUUCACAGGCACUGCAACAUGUAUUAUUUUAAUGAUUAUAAGUUCAGUUGAUGUCACGGGCACUGCAACAAAUAUUUUUUUAAUAAUUUUAUGUUGGGUUCAUUCAUAGCACUGCAACACAUAUUUUAAUGAUAUUUUAUUUUACAGCUGCAACGUAUAUUUUAAUAGAAUUUGUUUUACAAGCAUUGCACCACUUUACAACACUGCACUGCAUCAUUCUUUUUAUUUUUUUCAAUAAUAAAGUGUUGCACACUGCACUGUUAAAAAAACUUGCUGCCACAAUAUUUUUAAACUCUUGGAUAUUUUAUUUUAUAUAUUUGUAGUGAAAAAGCUUAUGUCACUAUGUCAGGAAAUGCAUCAAAUUCAGAAGUUAAUCCAAGUGUAUCUUCAUCAGUUAGAAGUAGAAGAAAAAAUGCUCCGGGAAAUCGAUCUGAUAUUGGGUGGAAACAUGGAUUUAAUGUUAAUGGUAAUGGAAGAAAAGUGAAAUGCAACUAUUGCUCAAAGAUUGUAAGUGGAGGCAUAUUUAGAUUUAAGCAUCAUCUUGCUAGAACUAGAGAAGAUUUUGAACCUUGUGCUUCUGUUCCGUAUGAACUAAAAAAUUUGAUGAUAAAAAUAGUUGCAGAAGCUAAGAAUGCUUCAUUAAAGAAAAGAAAGAUAAAUAUCGGUGAAGACGAGGAAGAAAGUGAGAGUCUUAAAGGAGGACACGGGGUAUUCGAUUUUAAAGGAAAAGAAAAAGUUGCUACUACUAGUAAUGGGAGAGAUCAAGCAACUAUAAAUCAAAUGAUGGAAAAAGGAUAUAAAGAAGAAGUUUAUGCUCAAGUAGCUAAAUUCUUUUACACCAGUGCCAUUCCUUUUAAUGUUAUUAGAAAUCCAACAUUUGCAAAGAUGUGUGAAAUGAUUGGUAAAUAUGGAGUUGGAUACAAACCACCAUCUUAUCAUGAUAUUAGAGAGAAGCUCUUGAAACAAGUUGUGAAUAAAACAGAUGCAAAUCUUGAGGAAUAUAACGAGGAGUGGAAGAAAAUUGGAUGUACAAUUAUGUCUGAUGGUUGGACGGAUAGAAAAAAACGUUUUAUUUGCAACUUCUUGGUGAAUAGUCCUAGAGGGACGAUUUUUCUUUAUUCCCUUGACACUUCAGACAUUUCAAAACAGCUGAUAAAGUUUUCAAAAUGUUGGAUGAUGUUAUCUAGUUUGUUGGAGAAGAAAAUGUUGUUCAAGUUGUCACUAAUAAUGCUGCAAAUUUUAAGGCAGCCAGAGAGUUGUUGAUGCAAAAGAGGGAAAAUUUUGUAUUGGACUCCAUGUGCAGCACAUUGCAUUGAUUUGAUAUUUGAAGAUUUUGAAAAAAAAGUUGAAGGUCCAUGAAUUGACUCUUAAGAAGGGAAGAAAUAUUACCACUUACAUUUAUGGGAGAUCAAUGUUGAUUUCCUUAUUGAAAAAGUUCACUAAAGGUAGAGACUUGAUAAGACCGGGUGUGACUAGAUUUGCCACGGCUUAUUUAACACUUGCUUGUCUUCAUGAAUUGAAAACAUCAUUGUUGACCAUGUUUAACUCUGAGGAAUGGAAGACAAGCAAGUUUGGAACUUCACAAGAGGGGAGAAAAGUAGAACAUGUGUUAUUAGAUAGCCAUUUUGGAAGAAUGUCUCCACAUGCUUGAAAGUUGUUGCCCCUCUUAUGGUUGUCUUAAGAUUAGUGGACUCAGAUGUAAAACUCGCAGUGGGUUUCAUUUAUGAAGAAAUGGACUCUGCAAAAGAGAAAAUUAGGUCUAACUUUAACAAUAUCAAAAGUAGGUAAAUUUUCAAACUUUUACUCAUUCAAUGUUUAAUUACUUAUGUGUGAGAUUACUUCUGAUAUAGCAUGAUUGAUGUAGUUAUGAAGAGGUUUGGAGAAUAAUUGAUGCUCGAUGGGAUAAUCAACUUCAUAGGCCUUUGCAUGCAGCUGCUUAUUUUCUAAACCUUCAUUUCCACUAUGAACCUAACUUUAGAUUUGAUGAUGGUGGAGAGGUGAAAGAAUGAUUGUAUUUUUGCAUGAGAAGAUUGAUACCGGAUAUGGUAGAAAGAAGAAAAAUUAAUUUACAAAUUGUUGAAUUUCAUAAUGCUAAAGGACUUUUUGGAAUGGAAGAUGCAAAGGAGUGUAGGAAAGAGUUAAAUCCUGGGGAAUGGUGGGACAUGUUUGGUGAUGGAACUCCGGAGUUGAAGAGAUUUGUUAUUCGAAUUCUAAGCUUGACUUGUAGUUCUUCUGGAUGUGAGCGUAAUUGGAGUUCAUUUGAAAUGGUAAUUUAAAUUAUUUUUAAUUUAUAAAUUCCUUUAUUAUGUUUAUAUCUUGAUUAAAAAUAUUAUAUUUCAUUUUAGGUUCAUACAAAGAGAAGGCAUCGUUUGCAUCAAAAAAAGAUGAAUGAUUUAGUUUAUGUGAUGUAUAACUCCAAGUUGAAAAGUAGACAGAUUCGAAAAACUAUAGCUCUUCCGUUUGAUGACAUUGAAUCAGAUGAUGAAUGGAUAGCUAAAGAGACAGAUGAUGUUGUUGAGAUUGAUCAAGUUGAAGGUGAAAAUGAUGGUGAAAAUGUUCACUUAGAUGGAGCAACAACAGAUCAUGCUCUAGAUGCUCUAGCUUUUUAGAAUCAAUUUCAAAACUAGUUUUUUGUGUGCCUAAUUUGAGUUUAGCCAUUGGCUGAGAUCUUUAUCACACAUGGGGAGAAGAAAAAUUGUCAAAUUUGCAUGUUGAUUUGAUUCUAGAUUUCUAUGAUCCUAAUCAUCUUGGUAUGUGUAUAUUGUCUAGAUUUUAUUGUAUGUUUAAGUGUUUCCAUUGAGUCUUAUUACAAGCUUUUAUUAUGUUAUUCUUGUUAUAGUUUUGUCACAUGAUUUUUCUUCUUUAGAGUUUAACUUUACUCGUUUUUAGUGCCGUUUUGCUUUUCUUUAGGUUCUUGAAUUUGUGUGUUUCUUGAGCUUGAUUAAUCACCUAAACACCCUAAAAUGAAUAUGGGUUUUUAUCACAUUGGAAAUAACAUAAUGGGAAUUGAAAGUUCACCUGUUUAAUCUACUUAAUGUUCAAUUUAAGAAUUGGAUUGACGAAGAAUUAAUAUUCUAAAAAAUUUAUAAAACAAAGUUUGAAGAAACUAGAUUCUAGAGUUAGUAUUUACAUUGAAAAAGUAAAAUCCCAUAGAUUUGUAUAUUCUCUAUUGACUUUGAAUAUAUAUGAUGUGGCCAUGAGAGAAAAGGAGGGGAAACUUAUCUUUUUCUCUAGUAUCCUUGUUCACAAAUGUAGCUAUCAAAAGGGUCCAGUCUAAGCUUUAAUGCAACCUAAAAGGAGUUGAGAUAUGUUACCUAUUACUACUCACAAGCCUCCAAGUGAUUGAUAUUUUAGUUGCUAAUCCAUAUCAAUUUGUUGCAAACAAACAACAGGCAAGAGAAUCAUGUUGAUAUUCAUCGUGAGCUAUGUAUCAGAUUCUGACAAUUCUAGAAAUAUUAUGUACUAUUAGCAGACCAUGACCAAAUCUGAUUGUGUUUUUCUGUGCCCUUUUGCAAUCAUAAUUUGAAAAAAGCAGUUGGAAGAAUUAGAAAUGGCACAACUAAAUGGUUUCUGGCUAUUUCUUGGGAGGCAUAGUUUCUGAAACUAAAAAAGAAAAUUUGAAUUUGAUGUCUCUUUCUUUGAACCCAAUUAACAGAACGGUUUGGUAGUUACUGGUAGUUUGUUGCUGUAUACUAUACAAAAUAUCUGUGUUUCCAAGAAUUAUGGGCUUCAUGUUUGAUUUUGAAAGCUCAGUAGUUUCCUUGCAACACAUUCUUAAAUUGAGUGAUGAACUUCUUUUCUUGGAUAACAAAAUACAAAGUUGUUUCAAUAUGUUGAAAUAACAUUAUGUUAAUUAGGCCAAGCUGAACUAUGAUGUUUACUCGAAUGACUAGAAGAGUUCCUUUGUUAAACUUUAACAAGUAAAAGCAUUAAACUACAAAGUUAUUUUAGAACAAUAGACACAACACAACAGCUUAUUCAUUAGUUCUCAUCCUUUCAUUUGCAAUGAAGUCCGAAAACAGAAACCAAAAUUACAAGGUGAUGGAAUCUCAAAAAGAGAAAACGAAAUGGGAAUUUGGUUUAAGUAGAAACAAACAAAGUGGGGUGGUUACAAAUAAUGGAAACUUAGUAGCCUGGUGGCUUGUAGGCAAUGAAACUGAUGCACUGAACUUGACGAACACUGUCAAAUCCAACGAUACGGACGAAGCCGUCGGGGUAGAGAGUCCUGGCCUCUCGAAGCUCCUUCAGAACCUGAGAAGAAUCAGUGCAGCCAUACAUAGGCAGCUUCCACAUGGUCCAGUACCUUCCAUCAUAGUAUCCAGGUGACCUGUUGUUCUCACGGUGUGGGAAAGCGUCCUAUAAACUCAAAACUCAUAUCAUUACUAUCAAAACUCAUAACUGUUAAAAAAUAACUGAUUCACACAAAUAAUUUUACUCUUCGAUCCAUUGUUGGUUACUCUGUUCCAAGAAAUUUACCUU